AUACUUGUAAUACGAUUAAAUUAGUCAAGAAUAUUUUUCGUCUUGUUAUCAGAAAUCCUUUCUGAGGGUGUAUUAUGUGUUGCGCAUAUCUGUAUGUGCACAGCCGAAACGGGAUCGCAAAACAGAAACGAGUAUCGAUCAGUGCGAAAUUGUAAGAGGGAUUCGCAUAACGAAUCCAGCAAUAACUACUCCGUAUACCUACUACGUACCUGUAUCUUCCUUUUUUAUUCGAGCGACCGCGUCUAAAUAAAUUUUUAUGCAAAUAAGCCGAGCCGCCGAGUUUCCGAAGCUCGUCGGAGAUUUUCGUUCAUUGAUUCACGUACAUUUAUAUGUAUACGGACGAAUAAAACUGCGUCCGUGACUCUCAGUCCGAGUCACACAAAAUCCUCGUACAAUUUUAUAACGAUCGCUGCAAUACGUAAAUGUACACAUGUGCACAUUCGCGCGUCCACGUCCAAGUGUCUGCAAAUAUCGAGAAGUUCAUCAAACGUGUUACUCGAUGCCUGCAUAUCGAGAUACAUUUUUUCCGACAUCGUGUUUGCGAUAAGGUAUAGAAAAUAGAAAUUAGACAUUUCCCAGCGCGAUGCAUUUUGAGUAAGAGGAACUUUUUCGAUAUUGAUUUUUCAACAGGAUAUAUAGAUUUCUAGGGUAAUCGUCAUUCUAUGCUUUGCAAGUUGCUGCAAAUAUGUGCUCGAACAUACGCGUUGCAUGCGCAUUCGUUGCAACAAUACGCGUGAUGGACAAUAUUGUCGAUACUAUUUAAUUCCACAAUGUAACAUGCCGAGAGAGAGAGAGAGAGAGAGUGUGUGUGUGUGUGUGUGCGCGCGCGCGCGUGUGUGCGUGUGAGAGAGAGACGAAGAAUACGUUUUAUUUGAACAAUACGAAUGAAAAAAUGGCGUGUCUGCGCUAUAGGGGAUUUUGAGGAUAAUCUGAUUUAACGAGUAAAACGGACGUUGCAUUUCACAUUUUACGAAUUCCACGGUAUUUCAACAAUACCUCAAUUAUUAGCAUAUAUCAAUUCAGACAUUGUAAAUGAAAUUAGCAAAUUAACAAGAAUGUUAUCGAAGAAAUGGUUAUCGUGAGAUAUCAUGAACUAUAUAUUGUAAAAAGAGUUAAAAUAACGAUCAUCAAAUUAAAUCUUCAAUGACUAACAGACGUCGAAUGAGUACUUUUUACAAUAAAUAUUAUUUUUGCAACACAAGAUAUGAUCACGCUGUUGGUACCUAGACAAAGAGAAUCCUAGUUCUCAAUUGCCAGAGCGAUCUUACUUUCCUCACACUCUUUCACAAUCAUAUCAUUCCCGCGAGAAUCGCUAGCGGCUCCGCUUUUCACGCGUGUGAAUGCCGAAAGGAAUCGCCUGCAGGGACUUCACACGCUGUUUGCGCACCACGUACUUAACGGAGCAGCGCAUAUAUAGCUCGUCGGACAAAGCGCGGCGUGGGCCGUGAGGAGUCCAGGUGGGCGGAAAAUCCGGGCCCUUCGGCGCGAAACGGCACGACCGGCCCUCGAGAACGCGCGAAACAAACGUCGCCCCAUAAGCGAUGGCCAUGUAGUGUACGCCGGACACUGACACGGACGAUAAUAAUCGUUUUAUGGAAGUGAUUGCCUGGCGAGCGAUCGGUUUCGGCCUGUCGGACGCGAGGGAGCGGCGAUAUUCCGAUAUGGGGCUGAUGAGCAAGACGGGCUGCUUCCACCGGUUAUCGAGAACAACAAGCAAACUUGAUGAAGAAGAUUUAACGCACUAUGCAGACGACAAACAUACAACUUGCUUCAGAAAUGGAUCCGUGAUCGAGAAGCCGAAGAGCGACUUCGCGAGAACUUGUGGCUAAUUUCGUAUUCCGCGGUUCGCGUUGGCGAACCCCUUUGCGGAUUAACUAGGAGAGCGAGAUUAUCGGGAAGCCAGGAAGCGCUUAUGAUUUGCGAACGUGCCAGCGAACUCCACUAAGCCAGAUGCACGUUCGAACGAUCAGAUCGACCGUGACAGUGUGACACUUCCUGCAAAGCUAACAGAUAAUUAUUGAAAUGUGAAAUAGUAUUAAUUCGAAGAUAGGCUAAAAAAAGAUCACGUCGCCAUAGAUACAAGACCAGAAAUAAAUUCCACGUGUUAUGACUUGUAAUAAAUAGAAUCACAUUAAGCGACACGCAUGGAAAGUGAUGCCGAGCUGGAAAUUGUACGUCGAAAUUGCCACGGGAACGAAACGCGGCUCAAGCCGUCCUGGAUUUCCGUCGGUUUGAGCAAUGCACGCCGGUUUGAACGCCGCAAUAUAUUAUAAUCGAUGCUUACGGAUUUAUUAUUAUUUCGUAACAGGUGCACAGGCGCUACGCGCGCGCAUUUGCGCCCGGUGUGUUAUUAAAUGUUACAGAGAGACGUUAAAUCGCGCAUCGAUGUGUGUAUAAAAGUCAGCCCCGUGAUUUACCGUGCGCAGAAGCAGGUGUGGCACGACUAUAAUCUCCGCAAGCGAGCGAAAUUACAUAACGCUAUUUACCGCGACAAACUCGGUGACAUUCUGUCGCUCAUUUUACCGUAACGUGGAUACGCGUUUUUUAAUAUCGAUAUUGGUUCCUUCUGUAUGUAACUUUUCAGAUCUGUCUUUAGUUCUUUCUACUGCAGCAUUGUUUCGGCGGAUUCAAUAUUCCUGUUUUACAGAGAGUGAUAUAAAUUCAUACAGAUUUAGUUUCAUUUAUUAAUAAAAGCGAUAUAUAAAAUUUUAUUUGAUUUAUUAUUGUAUUAGAAAAUGCUUCAAAUAUUUUUGUGAAAUUGUGUAAAAUCGGAGCGAUUAAAGCACUAUUGCGGCAAUUUACAUGUUAUUCGAAUUAGCAGCAAUAAACAAGCUUUUUGUAUUAAACAUUUUGUUAAUUAAUGGAAAUUUCUGAAUCGUCUUUGUUGUAGAAAAUUGAACAACACGUCAAAUAUUUUCGCGGAAUUUUGUAAAUCGAAGGCGAUCGAUGCUUAUGUAUACCUCGCACACAUGGACGAAUCUUAUUUGACGAAUUUACGAAAUUCUGAAGCGGCGCACAGGCGGUGUCGAACAAUGAUGAAUAAUACAAUACGCCGUGCGAAACGUGUUAUAUACCAUGCAGAAAAGCGAGAAAAGAAAGGCCUAAAAUAGAAGCAAAAGCACGGUGCAAAACCGCUUUCGUGGUUGAAAGAGAAAAAUCGUCGACUAUGCGAGAGCGAUUGCCUAAGGCGGACAGUGAGCGCAAAAUUUAUGAUAUGUACUGAAAUUAAUUGAAGUCUUCAAACACGCUCUUAUUUUAACACUGCUUUGUCACGUAAUACGAGUGGUAUGAAAAAGAAAAAAAAUAUCGUUAAUUGGUGCAAGAUAGCUUUCAUCAUAUUUUUAUGAUUAACCAACGCGUUUUCUCUUAUUAAAAACUUUGCUGACGAAUCUUGGCAUAAAAAGUAUAGCGAGAAGUUUAACCACGACACUUUAACCAACUUUAGCCAUUUAUUAUCAACGAUCUUUUGUAUGUUAUCAAUAAAUAUCUAAUGGUUUUCUCCUAGACAUUUUUUCGUGAAUUAUAAAGUACAACUGUACAUUUGUAAAUAUAAUAAACUAUAGUAAUAAAUAGCAAAUAAACCUAGCAAAUAUAUAAAUAGUGUAAAAACUUGCAAAACAUAUUUGCAUAAUUGCAAAAUAUACCUGUACAAGAAAUACAAUAUAUCCCGCGCGAUUAUUUCUUCGAACGAUUGGCGCAUAUUGGACGGAUUAUUUUCUACGUGCAUCUACCAUAAUUUCCGUCUAUCUUGCAUAAAUUUUCGAGCGACAAAAGAACCACACCAUCCGCGCGUUGUUGCAUAAUGCGCGAUAUGAUUAAAUAUGCUAAUGCGCGGGUUCGCAGCGUUGCUGCCCCGGCAUCACGAAAGAUCGUCGUCUUUAACGUUUAACGGGAUGGUUUUCCGUCCCCGGUGUGUUCGCCGUUCGGCACAGAACGCAGGAACGGCCCUACACGGAACGCAAUUACAGUCGUUUACGGUUUUGUCACGGCUAUUCAUCCAGAAAUUGCGCGUUCAACGACCACGGGUUGACGAGCCCCCCACGUAUUCCUGGCUGCGCUGUGAUUUCUCGCGGGACCCCCUCGAGCCGACGACGAGAUGCCCUCUAUCUCUCGUUCCGCAGACACGCAACCGCAUCCGCUCCCUCGUCGUCCUCCUACGGUUCUUUCCUCCCUCUUCACCGAAGAGACCGCGGUGGAUACAAAUCAGGAUCUGAUUGUGUGUACGUGUGUGCGGUUGUCGCGGCCGCGACAGGAUCUAAGCGAUGUGCUCGUCGAAUUAACCACGAUGUGGAAAUCGGCAACGAGAAGUAAGCACCUAACCGAAAGGAAACCAGGUACUCAAUCCUGAUCCUCGACCAUUGUGCCUCGUAUCGAUUUACGCAAAGCAAGAGGUAUUAUAUUAUCUGUCAGGGGGAAUCCCGAAAUGGUAAUCCUGCUCGACUCUUCGCUUCACAAUCUUUGCCAUCCUGAAUUAUGUAGCGGUGUAUUAUUUCAGGAUUCAUGUUCUUUCUUGGAUUUACCUGCUUCGACGAGCGUUGGUGAAUUUGGUAGUGAACGUGCCUAGAUUAUCAGAUGACAAACUGGGAGAACGAUGAUUGCGUAACACGAUUGUGUAGAGACUAAUACCAGCUGAUAAAUCUCAUGCAAAUCUGACAGCACGUUUAUCAACGGGCGGAAUUCAUUAAGCGCUAUGAUAUUAUCGAAAAUUGAUACGUAAUAAUGUAAAAAAAAGUAUAAUAAUUCAUGGGUGCAAAAAGGGUUUCACAUUCUCGAGCGCACGGCGCUCGUACGCACGCCACUCAAGUACGAUUUUAUCACUCGCAGUUAUUAUUAAUACGGGCUGCUUUAUGUUUGACAGUAGUUUACGAUCAUUCCCGCUAAACGGCAAAACAGAUUUUACGGACCCAUUUUACUCUGUUCGGAAGUGGCACGCGCGCCGUCGCGUUGCGUCGUAUAAAUCUCCCCGCGAAAGUAAGGAAUUUUAUGUCUCGAGGGAGCAGUCCUUCCAUUCGCCUGUCCAGCUCCCAUGAGAGCUCCGCUCGUAUGAGAGCCGUCGCAAAUCUCCGCAGAUAGAAAUCAACUUCUGGUUACGCUUGUCACGCGUGUGUAUAAUCGAUUUAAUCGCCGCACUUGUCAAAUUAACAGCGCUCGUAAAAUUAGAAACCGAGAUCGAAACUCCUUCGUCACAUCUUUAUAUAUAAAAAAGUUUGCCUCUGAGAAUUCUUUCACGACAAAACACCCAUCACAAAAUUGAGAUUUAAUCCACGUCGACUAGAAAAUUCGCAGAUGCAAGUGAAUUUUAGGAUCAAAGUUGAUAACUUUUGUGUUCUCCAGCACGCAUAAUUACGCAAAGACGAAGCAGAGAUGCGGCGCGCAUCUUCCAUUCUAUAUAAUUUAAAAAGAAAUAAUUAUUUCCGAAAUCCAUUUUGUCAAAUUCGUUAAACGAUGAGUGUUGAGAACUCGAAACUUAAGUUUUAUUGCUUCUCUCUUAUAUAUCACAGAAUCACUCUUAAAAUUAAAUAAAGAUUAAGAGAUAAUAGUAACGUAGAACGCGGUAACCACGGUAAAGUUGGAGAAAUUCAAUAAUAAUUAACGUAAUCCCGCAGUUCGCGAUUCCACGAUCGAGGUUUUGCGAGGUGGUUAUAAAGGCUUCUCUUAAGUUGUGAAUCGCGUGACGCGAUAUUGCAUUUUUCUUUACAUUGAUUCGUGAAAAAUUCCCGCUCACGCGCACGCGAUGCCGUUCGUCGCCGCACGUCCCGAAGAACGUCUUUCGUGCUCACCAGAGCCUGUGCAGUUCUUAAACGAUUUGCAAGGUUCGGCCAUUAACCGGGCUCCGCGAACAAAGCUGGUAAGCUCUGUUAUCAAGACUCAGUCUCAGCUUAGGUCGUAAUAGUAAUCUCCGUAAUUUAAUGUAAUUACAUAAAUACCAAAGUACGCACUAAAUCACAUCGAAUAGAUCGUGAAAACUGGAUUCAACAGUCGCGAUAACGACGGCUCGAAUGCACAUCAGCGUGAUAUAAAAGGAAUGCUGAACGAAACGCCGGCAAUCGUUAGCAGACACAUUUCAUCGCGUGUAAUUGAAGAAAACGGCGCAGCGGAGAGGAGGCGAUAACGAAUCCGUGACGCGAUGUAAUUCUCCGAGGGAAAAUACAGGAAUAAAUAGAAAAAAUACAAAAACCAAGGGGGAGAGUUCGGGUGGCGUGGCGUUAUUAAGCGGGGCACCCUUGCCUCUGCCUCGUCACCUUCGACUGAUCGCUUUUCCGAUAGUUAAUGAUCGAUCACGAUGCACAAGCUGUACCGCCGGGUAAACGAGCCACCGUCGUGGUUCUUUCGAGCGUGUGCAAGAGGCUCGCGUACAUGGCGUGUCUGGACUGUUUUUCCUCGCCUCUAAACGGCAGGGGUAUGAGAUGGAUGGGGAGAGAAUCCGACGCCAUUGUCGGAGGAACAAACGAUCGUCUUCCUUUGCGCGGCGCAUUACCGUUGCUCCUCGCAAAGUGGAGGAGUCCUUUUUAUUUAGCGCGGAACAAACGGCCGGCAGACAGCUGACGUAGGCGGACAAAGACGACGCGGACAACUUUACGCGCCGAGUAUAAAAGGGUUACAGGACCGACGAAUCUGCUCGCGCGCGGGCACGUCGCGAGUUCCGGUACCCUCCGUGAACUCUCAGCUGAGCCGCGAAACAACGCGUGAAAACAACGCGACGACUUGCAGCGGACUUGUGAAUUUGCCGAUGUUUCCUUCGCCGCGCUCGAAAAGUUGUACUCUUUCACGGUGCGACGUGUUUUUAAAUUUUGUUUAAACAGGCGGAUUUACAAUUUUGAAAAAUUACGCCGAAAAAGACGCGAGACUUACUUCAAUCAUUUGCAGACAAUGAGCGGAGUAAACCCGACGAGUCGGUGACUAAAUUAGCGUGGUUGCAUAACCGACUAAGAGACUAAGAGACUAAGAUCGUGUCCUGAUUAAUAUGGGCGCGAUGUCCGACGCGUCCGCAUAGUCGCCCGUCCGGUCGACGAAUCAAGCGGAGCGCGAUGAUUAUAUUAAUAUCCGGUUAGCCUGCAGAUCCGAGCGCGCGCACUGUUACGCUUAAACACGCGUCGUCUAGACGCUUUGCCAUCGAGCGUAAUCACCGAUGAAUAAUUUAUGCGUUCCGGGUAUAUACGGGGCCUGACAUUUGUCGGCGCCGGUCGCCGUGCGGCGAAAGAACAGUGGCGGAAUUGUAGAAUCGCGAGUGACAGCUUGUAUCUCUCCUCGAGCAGAUAAAAGCGCAAAAUGCACGUGAUUUAUUAUACCGCGCUGCGAUCAUUUUUGCAACAGACAACUCGUAUCGUUACUACUCAAUAUUCGUGCAAUGAUUAUUUACAGAAGUCGAGAUUUUAUCGAUAUCGAUUUUUCUGAUGUUAAUAUUCUAUUGAUAUCGAGAGACUGAAAUAACGGGAGCCUGAAAUAAACAAACUGUAAUUCCAAUAUUUUUGCGAAUAUUUACAUACAAGCCGCCCCGGUAUGCCGUUCUAUGAUAUUAUAGCUCCGCGUUUCUAUAAAUACGGAUUCAUAACACGUUGGUGGAAUAAUUUCAAUAUCGUGGGGAGAAAGAGAGAAAGAGGGACAGAGAAGAAGAGAGAAAAAGAUACAAGAUAUUUUAAAUAAGGCGCAUUCUUAUACGUGUAUUUCAUCCAAAUGUACUCGCGUACGAGGCAUCGUUCAUGCGAAUGCGACUUCCUUAUGCACACUUCCUGUAGCAUCGCCUUCGCCUCCCUCAAUCGGUUUACAAACAGCAUAUUCAAUUUCCCGAAUAUAACAUCCCGGCGCAUCUCGGAGAAAACGGAGGACCCCGGCACGUGCCGCUGCCGUAGAAACACAAGCGGAAUAAAGCGUGUAACAUAAGCGCAACGAGGAUGCGCGCUCGUGUUAUACGCUCGAGGGAUACGAAUAUUACUUCCCGGGGUAUAUUUAUCUAUUAACGUCGAUCAGACUCGGUCAGAGUUAUCCGACCUCUCUCCCCGGCGUGGUGGUGGUGUCUUCCGCCCUACAUUACCAAAUAUCCCUAUAGUUUACUCUUACGCACUCCGCCUCUGUGGGAGUUCCGCGAGCAUAUUUGCUCUCGCGAAAGUUAGUGUAUUUGCAAGACUGGUGAAGGUAAGACGCCGACAAAUACGUUCAGACCAUGCUUGACAAUUUUUUUCCUUUUUCUCAUUCUUUUUUUGUCCUUAGUACAUUGUGUUAUAAUACCUAUAUGCUAUUGUCUGAAUAAAACAAAUAAACGACUUCUCUGCGUGCGUUAACGUUAUGUAAAUUCGAGUUUACUUCAACAAGUACUGUAAAAUGAAUAGGUUGUGCGAGUUUGAAGGAAGAAUCCGAACCCACAUUUCAGAUCGAAAAAGUUACGGGGAUGAUUUCCUUCGUGAAUAAUAUUGUGUUAUAAGGCGCGUGUUUACUUUUCUUUUGUAACCCAAUUCUUUCAAUUUAAAUUCUUUACAAGUGAAAUAAAAGUUUACUUUUUAUAUAUGUAUAUUUAAAAUAAAGUUCAUAGUUUUAAUGAAAUAAAAUAUACGCAUUCGAAACGGGAACUGUUCUCCAUGCCAAUAAGUACGCGUGACUUGUUCAGAAUCGAGAAUUCCAGUCGAAGUAAUAUUGAAGAAACAUCCACAUCUCGAACGCGUUUCCAAUCUCACGCAUCUCUCACGCACUUCCGGAAAAAAAUGAAACAGAACGUGGAUGUCGCGGCGAGGGUCGUGUUUGCACGCUGCGACGAAAUAUCGAUCCCGUUCUUUCAGAGUCUGCACCGUCCACACGCUUCGUAUUUCUCCUCUUUUUUCGCCUUUCUCUUUUUUUCUCCUCUCCGUCUUAUCCAUUGUCUCUCCCCCGUCUACCCUCUCCGUCGCGUCACCCGCUCCCUUUAUCCAUGUCGUACGCGCCGUCCCCUGCAUGUCACACAUUCGAAAAAGCCAACGGUGCGUACAAUCGUGUCCUUACCCUGCUGUGCACGUGGUUUCCACAUCAAAGAAAAGCUAUUUGUUAAUGAGGCGUAAUUAUCCCGCUCACAAUGGCAGACGGCAGCGCGCCACUGCAACAUCAGUCGGGGGUGUCGGGAGCAAGCGAGGAGCAAGGAUGGGGCGCGUUCGUCGGAACCAUGAUUGUCCGGGUUCUACAGGGAUGUAGAGAUCUCACGGUGUCAUCGCUCGAUGCGAUCAUCGUAUGCGAGCGAAGUGUAAAGGAGAUAUGACAGUCACAUCCUUGAUUAAAAUGUAUAAUAUAUAAGAGCAUACAGUUCGGGAUAAUCAAAAGAUACAAUAAAGAUACCAUCAAAAGAUGAUACAUUUUUCUGUUAGAUUAAAAUGCAUACUGGAUUAUUAAUGAAACGUUUAAAAGAUUUACUGGGCCUUUGACUCGAUAAAGACUACUAAAAUUUGUAACUCGCAAAAUUUCUGAAACGUAUUAUUUCAAGAAUGUUUUACAUUGUUACACACUUUUCUCUUAAAAUUAUUAUUAAGACGAAAUUAAGAAAUAUUACUUGAUAUAAAAGUACACCUGUCUUUCGAUAUCAAAAAUGCUCUCUUUCAUUUUUCUUUAUUAACUCUUACAUAUAUUAUACAUUACGUAAUUACAUAUUAUAUGACACGAGUGGAAAAUGGACUUUGGAAACCUCGCGCAGUAAGCUGUAAUUAAAUGCUAGAUUAUGUUAGAUUUCGCGGAUAUCUCAGCUUUUCAGAUUUUCCACUCACUUUAUCUUUCGUCUCGUGAUCGUAGAAAAAUCCGUAGAAUUACUGAGCUGCUGCAUUGCACUGACAAAAAAAUCCCGACUUAAUACCAUCUUUUUACAUUGGUUUUACGAUGUGUCUUAAACGAUCAAGCGAACGUUAAAAAGCAAGAGUAACGUUGGAAGCCGUUGGGUUGGACGCGGGGAGGAAAAAGAUGCGGAGAGUGGAAAAAGCAAACUAGAUGCUUCUCGACCGAUUACGCUAACCGCCCGUGCUCUUCUUCAAGACCGCGGAUUAUCUCAAACCGGAUGAAUUCAACUUGGAAAUACUUAUGGGCGACCGGACCCGUUGCACCGUAUUUCAUCCGCAAUCAGCAUCGCGCAAGAAACGCGUUAUUCAUACUUAAGUGACGUCAUGUCAAACCGAUGAUAUGUGGUGAUUCUUCUGUUGGAAUCUGAAGGAAAUCGAGACGGGCACGCGGUUGAUUGCCCGAUUAAGCCAGUACCCCCCGUGGGAUCGAUCGUGAUCGGCGAACGAUUAAAUGAACCGUUCGGAAAGCGUCGCGACGCGUCCUUUAAUAACGCGAAGCCGGAUUAGUUCGAGGCGCAGGUGAUCAUCGGCGCGAUAAUGGUAUUAAUACAUCAUCGCCCCCCAUGCUAUGCCUCGCCGCUCUCUGAUUGCACAGCGGACGCGCCUGCAAUAUGCGUUUUCUCACCCCGAAACAGUAGUGACGAGCACGAGCGCUGUCCACAACCGAGAUUAUGUAAUACACUAUAGCAAACUAUCUGCUGUAAACUGUAAACUGCAAUAUUGGCAGCUGUCAUAAUUAUUGAUGGGAGAAGUCUACUGAGGCUCGAGACACGAUGGACUCAAGAGUUCCGUGAACCCGAAGUUCCGCAUUCGCGAUGCAUUCCUCGCAGUGACAUCCACGUCCACUUCGUAAUUCCAAACGACGGGAAUAAAUUGCUACCAAGCCCAGCAGCGCGAUCGUGGAUUUAAAUGCGAGCUAUCUUCCCCAGGUUCUCUCGUUAAAAUCAAGAAAAUAUUGGCGCGCAAAUAGGCGGAGAGAAAGAGAGAAAAAAAGAGUACAUAUAUUAAUAAUAAAAGCUUUCUAUAUAUAUAUAAGAACACGACGUGUGCAGGCUGUCGCGGUCUCGAAGGACCGCGCUCCAGGGUUAAGGAACUGUCGCGGUACAGGAAGAGAGGAUCGCGAUCCCCAUCCGCAGGAUCGAAGAUCCAUAAUAGGGCAGCAAAACCUGUCCGCGCUUUCAGCCUGGGGAUCCGGUAUCCCGCAAUAAGAGUCAAGAUUCCGCGGCUACCACUUCGAUUUUGCUCUUUUUGCAUCCUCGCCAUCGCGACUGUCUCUUGUCUGGCAACGAUACAAUACGAUACGGCGGCGCGUUUGUGCAUCCACGCCAAUAUCAUCCGCAUCGCGAAUCGAUAAUGUGCACUCGCGUGCCGCCAAUCGUUCGCGCUUGUAAACACAUCGUAUUUAUAUUGAGCAAUAAUAUAAAAAUUUCUGCAACGUUUGAUCGUUGAUUGAAAAAUAUUUCAUAUGUACGAUCAAAUGGUGCAUGUAUGUGUUGGUUUCUUGUUGCAUGCUAUUUGAAUGAAAAUGAUUACGUGAUAUGUAAUUAUUCAUACACGUGUUUAUAAUAUAGUUGCACACAAUUUCGAGUAUAAUAAAUUAAUGGUCGAUAGCAAAAGUUAAAAUAAAAAUAAACAGUCUUCUCUCUCUUGAUGAAUAGAAUGCAAGCUUGCUAUUCACGAAUUCUCCACGCAAUUUCCAAAGUAGAAUUCUCUGUUGAACAUUUUUCUAGUCCGAAAUGAACAUAUUUAUCUGGCAUUUGCGAGAGCAACGGGAUUACAGAAAUUGCAUUGCGCGGUAUUAGCACUCCUUCGCAUUAUUGGUCAUUAUCAGAGCAAGCAACGCGAAUCCGAUCUUUAGCCCAUAGAUAAGCGCAGUGCCUGUAAUUUUCACACUAAUGCCCACGUCGAAUACUGCAUUAAAUUGUUAUUUGCCGAUGCCAUUCGUUCUUAAAUCUACGGCGAGCGGAAUCCGCGGCGAAGUCGGCAUGCCUUGGAACGAGAGCUCUUAGCUUUGCUUUAGAAAUUCAUUUCAUUCCUAUUUUAAUUUUACAUUCGAUUCCGCGCCAACGAUUUUACCAUCUCGUGCCUUUGUAGCGUUGCAGAUUACAUCGUAUCUUUACAUCGUUUAUUUCGCUUUGUAAAUUUUAUGGAUAUAACAAUGUGGAGCCGGGAAAAAUUUACGAUGCACAAAAUGAUUACGCGACGUGCUCCUUUUGCGUUAUGAGAUAUAUACAGUGUCGCGUAAAAUGCAAAACCAAUCCAAUUUGGAUUUUUGGAAUGGAUUUUAAUAUCUCCGUCUCUUUUAGAAGGCACCUUAAAAGUCAGACAAAAUUCUCACGGUGAAUUACGACCAGACGACUACCGUUGCGUGAGCGAACAGUCGGUCUAUCAAUUCAACGAGCAAGUUGCUCGGUAUUAACGCGAUCCUGGAAUUCCCAUCGCGAAACCCCAUGGAAUCGCCACGCGAAGCGCAUAACGAUCACUUAGGGCCAACAAAGAAGGCCGCUGUGACGGACACUAAUUAAUUAUCGGGGACGAGUUAAUUUCAUUAGAGAGACUGUAAGGGAAAGAGGGAGAGAGUCCUCCUACUGAGUGUAAUUGUUCUUGAAUGAUCCUCUAUCCUUACGCGUUCAAUCUCUCAGACGUCAUCCAUUAACGUAAUUCAAGUCUGAAUGAACAGCAGACGUAUUAAAUGAUCCAGGUAAAAAAGUAUCCAUCCCAGGCCCAAUAAAUGAGACAAUUUCAAGUAAGAUCUCUUUAAUAAAACUACUCCAGGCACUCGAAACUAGAAGACAAUUGUCCUGAAUUUUAUUAUAACGGUUAUAAAAGAUCUUGUGAGCUUUUAGCACUUUAACAUCAUUGAUUCUUUGCUCAAGAUGUAUGUACAAGGGUACAUAAUAAAUGAUUGUUACAGCAAAAUCGGAUUACAAAAAAAGACAAAUUAUAAUACUUUCAGUAGAAAAUAUAAGAGAAUUAUUGGAUAUUUAAUGAUGAUAUUAUAUUUUAUUUCCUUCCUAAUAAUUAUUAUGUUCGAUUCUACGUUGCACUUGUGGAUAUCCAUGUGUGUCAUAAUUAUCUUAAGAAACUCGAUUCGAGUCAGUCCUUAUAUAACUUCGAUUUUAGUAUUCAACUGCCAAGGACAUUCGUCGCAGAGACGAAACUGCAGAUACUACAUGAUCACUCAGGACUCUUGUUUCAAAGACAACAAUAAUUACAUCAUAUAAAUAGCGUAAUAUUCUUUGUCUCGAAUCAUUUAUUGAAUCUAGAACUGUUGUUCAUGAACUAACAGAAAUUUAGAUCAUAUUUCGAUAUAUAUAAAAAAAUAAAAUAAUUGUCAAAAUUACAUCGAGCAAGCAAUAGAGACAAAUAGAAGUAAUUCAAUUUUCCAUGAAAAAAAUGUGUCAUAUCGAACUUUUAUAUACAUAAUUUUAUUCGCAGAAAAAUCGUUAGAAUUUUAUUGAAUAUCAAUUUAUUUCCGCUACCCGUUUUUUUACUCGUUUGGAACAAUGAAAAUAAUGAAUUUCCAAGUUGAUCAAGUGUUGUUCAACGAAGCAAUCGAAAAUUGUUAUCUACUAUUAUUUACAUUUUCUGCAACAAUACAGAGAAAAAUUCACGGAGAAAAAUUUGUUCUCGAUAUCCUCAUGUAUCAAAUCACAUAUAUAAUAUUUAACAUUUAAUAAUUAAUCGAUUUAAAAGCUAUUGUUCUACAAAAGAUAUAUUUUAACAAUAUAUUUCUUGUCAGGAUUAAAAACUAAAAAGCCGGUCGAAAUCAAUGUAUUUGUUUACGAUAUACGGAUGUAGAUUACAAAUAUUAUAUAAAAUUAUAAAUUAUUUGAUAGAAUUUAUAUUAUAUAUGAUAUUUUAUAAUACAUCAUAUGGAAACAGCGUCUUUACAAAAAAAGUAAUUUUUAAGUUAAUUACAAGUCCCUUAAUUUCUUUCGAUGCAAAUAGAAACGUGAAUAACUUGAAAAAUGACACAUAAUUCGAUGUUGACUUUAUCACAUUUAUUAUCUUUACGAGACGCCAAGUGAUAAAUUACGACACAGCUAUAGUACAGCUAUAUAUAAACUAAAAAAGUUUGAUAUGGUGGAGUAACCGAAACUUUAUGCACUAUCGCAGAUAAUUGCAGAGAUAAUUCCAUUGCAUGCAUUAAACCAUGUCCGUCAAAAUUUGCCCUCGGCGAUCCCGGUCAUCGCAAUUACAAAUGUAUCUCCCGAUAAAUCGUGCUAUCCAAGUUCGCAGUCGUCAAAUAUUUGGAAGCUCGCGAAGCGUCUACAUUCAAAUAUUACCCUCACCCUUCUCUCCUAAAUUUUGGUUCUCAACUGCAUAACGACAUAUGCUCCUGCGAUUACGCUUGGCACCAACGACUUUUCUAAGCGUAAACGCUUUCGAAUUUCGGCUUUGUAAGAUUCGUAACAUAUAUUUGGAUUCGUACAACAAUCAAAUCAAAUUUUUCCAUCUCUCAAAUGGAUCCAUCAUACAGCCGUGCAAAUUAUUCGCACCAUCCGGGACUGCGAAACAACGCUUGCUCCGGGAAGAGACUGCGAAACGGCGGACAUCGAGAACGUGCUUUGUGCUGGAAAUGCUGGUGCACCACCACGUCGUUUUUGCAGAUUGUAACGGAGCAGCCGGAGCGAGAUGGGACGGAUUAACCGUGGCGAUUAGGGUGAAACAAAAUGUCGGAAAGUUUCAGUGGUGCGGACACUACGGAGAUCCGUAGACGCUCUCAUUACACGAGGGCGAGGCAUAUCCGGCGAAGUUUGGCUUCGACGUGGUGGCGGCGGCCACGAUCGGUGAUUGCGUGGGCAACCGUUGAUUACUCCCGUCGCGCUCUACCCGUGCAAUCGGUUGCGAAACUUUAAUUAAGGCCUGCACCGUGACCGAAACGACCGAGCGAUAACGCCGAGCGCUCCUUAUAUCGGCGGCGUGUGGGCGAUCGGUUUUAUAGGGUCGCAUGGAAAGCCCCGGGAGCGAGUCGCCGCCCGCGGGAACGACACGCGCGCGCGAGAAUUGUCUCUCGAAUUAUCCCCUGCUCGCUCUGCCGCCUCUCCACAUACUGUCGCUAUAAAAUAUGUCGCGACAACCGUGAACUAUGCGUAAAUUUGAAGUGCGGUUAAAGGGCGGCAGAACGGCUGAUAUCUCUGAAACGAUGAUUUUCGUCGUGCAGUCCGUUUAUGUUGCAUUGCAGACGAGAUCGAUGUUUCUUUAAUUUUAUAAAAUACGACAAUAAUACAAUGAGAUGAUUCUCGGUCUGAUUUUUGAACUAGAAAGUAACACAGAAGAAGUAUUCUUGAAUGAAUAACAAAUAAAUGAAGUAAUUGAACAAAUAAUCAUAUUUUACUAUUGAUAACUAUAAUGGUUAUUAUAAUUUUUUAAAUAAUCAUUACGGUAAAAGCAAAUGUAAAUUUUCUCUUUCUUUUUCUCUCUCUUGUUCGCAGCAAUCAAUUGCUGAUGUGUCUUUCAGGUCAUAAUGCUUUUACCGAGAAAUCAUGGCAUUGUAAUCUGCAUAUUUGUUAGAGUUCUCCUCGUAAGCAUCCAACUCGAAUGAAUCCGGGAAGAAACCCGAGGAAUUCAACCGCCAAGUCGCGCACUUUGAAAGCUCAGUAACUGAAGAUUUUCAUCAGCACGUUCGCCCCAUUUUACUAUUACAGAACGCUGCGCCGGAUGUAAACUUUAGUAUAUGAUUAGCAGUAAUCAGGCUAAAAUCUUCCGGGAGUUAUAACGCGGGACGUCGGGAAGUUUCCUGGCGCGGAAACGUUUCUCCGACAAUUUCUUUGGAAAUUAUGUAACACGCCAGUAUCUUUCUCCCCUCCUGUUUCCCCCGCGGCGUUAGCUGCCGUAGUAUUUAAUUGUAAUGUAAAUCAUCUGAAUAUCUCCAGAUACAACUAGAGUGUGAUAAAGUGCAGCGAAACGUCACGUGAUGUAACACAGCGCUCGUGUUUUUGUUAAUAAAUAAAUUGGCUCGCGCUGACAACUCGUUACGUAAAUCCGGGGGUGGCGCGGCGCUUAUCACCCACUAGUAAAAUUACGAAUCAACGUUUAAUAUAAACUGACAAUGUGAUAGUCAACCAACUGCAUGCUAGGCAACUCCGCAAUGCACCAGCGGGAACAGGAACAACUCGUUGUUUCCAGACGUGCCUCUCUCUAGUUCGUGAUACGCGGUGGCGAUCAAUGUCGGCUAUCCCGAGGCAACCGAUUACGAAUGACAAAUCACGACAAAUUGUUGCGUGUCUCACGCAAUCGCGUCGAUCUCGUUGAGCGUUGACUAAAGGCUUGCGCGAGACACGGACGAUUUGGCGUAUCGUAAAAAUACGCAAAAGCGAGAUACAUAAAGUUGUAUCACUUACUAAAAAAAACGAUACUGCUAACUGCAGAAAAAUGGAAAUGAUUUCUUUCAAUUAAUUCAAGCUUGUCGAAUUAUAUCGCUUGAAAUAAUGCUUAACGUAAAAUAAGUAUUAAUUUUGCACCGAUCACACAGAUGCAUCGACUUUGUAUUUAAAUAAAUGACAAUUUCAAUCAGAAUGGAAACAGCUCACUUCGUACAACAUUUUAACAAAGUAUGUGUAAGAAUUUCAAUUGCGACUGUCAAAAGGGAAAACCCGGUAGUUUACUUUGCUAUAAAAUCAAAAACAGCGACCGCAUUCGCGCGCAGUUUUGGAGAAAUACCGUAAAUCACGCCGGAAUGUAGCGGGUACACAUAACUGUGAAACGAGUAACGUAAAAUCGCAUUGAUAAGAGUCGUAAUUGCGAACUGUUUCAAUACACAUUCCAAUAUACAUAGAUGCCAAUAAAACAAAACCCGCAUUGUUCUUCGGAAAAAAAAGAGGAAAAAACAGGAAGCCUAUGCAAACUUGUUGCGAUCAACAAGGGAUUUGCGAAAAAAACGAGAGAAAAUCAAGUAGCUCUCGUAUCGACCGGCGCGUAUUCCAAUAAUGAAGGUUGGAGAUUAAUAAAUCUGGCGUGCAGUAUACGCUCGAUUACAUGCACGCGUGUGUAGGUGCAACGGUAAGGGCAAUCGGCAUUUUAAACAAACGCAGCAAGCUUCUGAGACUUUUCAAUUCCCCGCGGUAGAGAAACACGAUGUUCUCUGUCGCUCAAUACCGCCGCGAAUGGAAAUUCUCUAAUAUAAGAUUUAAUCUUUUCUUGACGUCGUGCCGCGUCGCACGUACGGAUCCAAUGAUAUUCCGCGGAAGGAACGAAUUCGAAAUGCUGAAAGUGUCGUUCGUCUGAUUUAACAGUUCGACUGAGCGAUUUAAAAUUUAAAAUAAAUUCAAUCAGCGGGAGGAAGAAUUUAAAAAAAUUCCUUUUUCCGACAAUUUGAACAUCUCAAAUUCCUCAAUAAUUAGCGUCAAGAGAGAUGAUGUCAUAAAUUGAAAAUAUGAACGAAACGUGUAGACAAUAACACAAAAUUUGUGGUUACAUUAAUUGUAUUAAUUAAAUCUUUUUGUUAAAUGCACUAUGAAGUUAUAAAUUCCAUUAAAAAUUAUGCACUAAUUGAUCAAUAAUUGACAGACGAACAUACAAUGCAACAUAUUCUUUUAUGCGAAUUUAUUUUCUGUGGAAACAUGCAUCUAAUCCGUGAUAUAUUGAAAUCUCAAAUUACGUGUAAAAACGUAAUGCUCGUUAACAAACAUGAAAAUAUUAUUAAUAAAUAAAUGUUCUGCAAUUGUGUAGAAUCAUUCUUUUUCAAUUAUGCCAUCAACAUGUAAUGUUAGCAUUGCUCGACGCUCAAAGGGAUACAACGAGGCACAUAAGCUUUCGACUGUGCGAAAAUGAGCUCUCGCUUCGCAAGAUCGCAGGGAAUAUUCAUGGGAUUCUAGCCAGGCGUGAACAUUCGUGAAAUAUGAACGCGGUAACUUUAAUCGAACUUGAAACGCAAUUUCAAAUUCAAAUUUUCAUCGCGGGCAAUGGGGUUUACCGGGUAAUUAUACCGCUGUGGCGCCUUUGAAGCAUCGCCAAAGUAAAUCUUUAUCAGAAGACUUAAUUUAAUAACGUGUCGGACUCAAGCCAGGGAGGACUCGUCACGAUAACGUCGCAUCAGCAUAUUUAUCAUCGAACGUGGUUUGAUUCAAUUCCGCAUUCAAAUCAGAAUCGAUCGCUCGGGGAUUCGCUCGGAACGUCCGGCAAAUCGGAGGCGCAAUAAAGUUACUCGUGUCCCGUAUUAUUUAUGCGCAUUAAACUUCACUCGCUGGGUCCUAGAACAUCGAGAUCUCGACGCGCGAUCGCGAUCCGUCAACGAUAAAUCAAAUCGGAAGGGAGACCACGCCGGGAAACGCAGAAAACGCACGGAACGCUCGCGCAAACAAGCCCAAUUGAAAUGCGGCUACGCGGAUGAACGGCUUAACAACUCGUGCUGUCUCGACCGGUCGCCGAUGCAAAGGGUGACAUAAAUUACUUCGCAGAAACUGCACACGGUGGUCUUAUCGCAUCUCGAUCCCUGCAAGGGAUGCUAGACAGAAAAUCCGUUCGUGAGAAUUAUAAACGCGGCAUUAUUGUUGCAGCAGGAUGAAUAAUUUGCCCAGGUCGCGAGUGUUCUCUUUGAAUUCGCGGGUAUCGCAGGUAGAUUCGAGUAAGUACUCGGCAAAUACUUGCCGAUCGCUUUUAAUUUUCUCGUCCAGCCUGGCUCCGAGAUUGUGUGGAUCGUGUGAACCAUCGCGAGCCACGCACGAGUUGCUGUUCCUCUCGGAUGCGUGAACAAACAUGCACUGUCCGAGCAAACAGGCACAGCUCAUACGUGAAUCCGUCAGAGGCGGAGGAACUUGCCGCGAAUUCCUUAACGCGUGUUCAUGAACGAGAGCGACGAGAACAGGUCCUAUUCUUAAUCUCGCAUAGAAACUUUCGGAAAUUUUGCAUCUUUGUGCGCAGCUAUUGAAUAUUUUUAUUAACCUUUAAGUCCAGAGAAAGUGGAGGGAUACAUUAGCACAAUGAUAGAAUUUAUUUAAAUGCAUAAUGUCCGCGCGCUGUGAGAUUAUCAUCGCGUUUGAAUUCUACCUGCUAUAAAUUGCAUUUAUAUACUCAUAUAUAUACAUAAUCAUAUAUGUAUAUAUAUGAAUUUCAAAUGCUAUAAUCAAAAUUGAUUUGGUACCUCUUUUAUUAAACGCGCCUGAAAAGGGCUGCCUGAUAUGUAUAUAUUACGCGUAACGCACACACGCGCUCGCGCACAUUUUAUUAUGAAUAUAACUCGCAUCGUGUAAUAAGUCAAGCGGCAGUAAUUUAAUAUUAUUUUCACGAUUGUUUAACUGAGAGCUGAUUAAAUUAUCAUGCUAUUGUAUAACGCUUUUACAUAAUCGUAUAAAAGAAACCAAACGUACAUGGUCAAACUGCUGAACGUCAUACCGAAUAUUACAGAUAAUAACAGCCUUUGUCAAUGUGACUACUUAACCACCUCCCGACAAGAAAUAAUACAUUAGUGAAGGAGAAAACCUCGAUCUUCCAGUCGGCGAACAAUACCGGCACAUUAGCACACUCGCAUGUCACCAGUAGUCCAAGGUAACAGCACAUAUACUCAUAAUUAGCACUCGCAACGAAACACUCGCGAGAGCACCUCGUGACAUAACUCGUACCGUUUCGCGUCAGUGGCCGCAGAAUCAUCGAAAGCUGAAAUGAUCAUUGCAACACGUUCAAGAGAAUGAUGAACAUCCAAGAUGGAAAAGUCUUGCGGUUGCUGUUCGCCUCAGAGUCAACAGAGAAGAAACUUUUCGCGCGUCUCUCGAUCUCCACCUGACGGAACUCGCAAUCCGCGGCAACAGCUUCUUCCUUCCGAGUCGAGCGCAAUUACUAUCGAAUCGCGCUCGUUGCGGCACUUCUUUUCGCGAGCACGCGGAAACGGGGACACGUGUGUACACACGCGACGCACACACGAGAACUCGAGGGCACUUCGCUCCGACGCGCUCCGCGAGCCGCUCGAAUUCGACCACCGUCGAGUUCCCUCGUAGCAUCGGCACUUCCCACGUCCGCGCGCUCUCUUCCGUGACACUCGGACGUUUCUAUUGGCACUCGAGUACCUCCCGAGAGUGGUCCCUCGACGUCGUCCCGGUCUUCCGUCUAGUCUAGUUUCUCUCGUCCACGCGACUCGUGCGAUCCGCGUCGCGUCUUUCGUCGUCUCGACGCCGGUCCCGAGGCCAAGCUUCAACCUUUGGUGACAUUAAGAGCAAGGACGUCGAAAAGGCACCAUAAAAUUCCCUCCGUUGAUUCCACCGGGUGUUGGUGUCUGUCGUGUCUACUGCGAUGAUCACGCGACCUCGAGAAAAUAUUGUAGCUUGAUACAUCAAUUUUUGAUACGGUGUCUUCUGGGUCAUAUCGCCGACAUUUCUUGUUUUGAAUGUUUCCUCUCGAACGGAUGAGUACCUUGAGUAACGAAAUUUGAAUGCGGUUUAUUUCAUUAUGCAUUAAUUCUGUUACUCAUGUUGCUUUGUACGAUUAUACACUAAAUUUUUCAUAAAUAUUACAAAUUUGUGACACAAAGAGAUAAGUGACACGUGAGAUGCCAGGAUUUCUUCGUAUUUUGCAGGAGUCGCGGCAACUUCAUCCAGGAUGAGGAUUGAAUCAAUAUUGAACUCUUCAUGGAUCUACACGUCCACCGGCGUAGAAUUGCUGCAGUCUCACCUCCGCGAGACAAAAAGAGUCAUCUGUAAAACCCGAGGAAACGAUAUCUCCGAUAUCUCGUCUCUGGUUUCCCUCUUCCGCAUGAAGCUCGCGAUCUCGAUAAUGUAUCAAUCUACGAAAGGAACGAGGACCAUCCUGAUUGGUAUCGACUGCGACAACUCGCGUCAAGGAAGCUGCUCUCAGCUCGCGCCAUGUCUCAACGUCAUCAUCCCCGAGAAUUGGUGGCACCAAGGAUGCAUCGACGUUGUGUCGAGGAGUUUAAGCGAAAGCAAGGAUCCUAAGGAAGAGGGUUUAGAUCGGAACAAUGCGCACGUAUUCACACACGCACGUGAGCAUAGUAAACGAAAAAAGGAAAAAAAAGUAAGUCGACCCUGAAAUGAUGCCUUCUUCUGCACGUAAGCCGACCUUGCAAAAUCCGAGGUAGGGCGAGAAGGAAGAGGAAGAGAAGAAGAAAAUCCUCUUCCUUCUAUUCUAUCUUUUAGCCUCCACCUUGUCCUGAUGAUACCUGCCUGAUCCGGAUAGAUUACCCUUCUUUUACCCAUCAGAUCGUUCGCCAGAAUUUUUCAUGAUCGAUGCUUCUCGCUUACGCGUACGGAUCUUACACGGUGGUCGAUCCGCGCUAUAGUCCGUGACUAAUCGAUCGAAUUACGUAACCGCAACGGUCGGCGAGAGAUCGGAAGAUCGGCGGAGCGUUGCACAAUAGUUGCACAACUGUACCAUCAGCCUUCUCUCUUGUCCUUCCUAUGCAUCCCUCGCAUUCUUUUUCUAUACUAUACGUAGCGGCGUGAUCUGUUUUACAUUUGAAACUUGAGAGCUUCAGGUUCUCAGCUGUCAAACAGCUGUGCGGAGUCAUUCCGCUGAAAAUAAUGAGUAAGCUAAGUAUUUAUAACAUAAAUCUCCUAACAUUUUACUUUACAGAGAACAACAGGAGGAGAUUUGUUUCUCUGGAGACGCUAAAAGUUGUUAGAGUUCCAGGCCACACAUCUGUCAAAGAAACAUGCGGAGAGAGCCCGUGGCGCGGCGAGAGAGCUUGACGCAAGGAAGUUCCGUGACCGACCUUUAAUCCGGCAAAUCGAUACUUCUGUACGAUAGAUAUAUAGGUGGUAACACUCGAAAUAACACGCGGUGACGAUGUUCUCGAAAUAGUGUGCACAUGUAGAGCCUGCUUUGUAAGAGGCAUAGAGCAAUAUAGAUUGCGGACGAUCGUGCCGCUCAAGUGGAGUGUUAUCGGAACGAGUGUUCGUGGUAGCGCGAAAGAUACCGUGCCUCGAUUAAUAUGGAUGGACUUAUUAUGGAUCCAUCAGCGAAGAAAGAAAUUUUAAUAAUGGAGAGAAUAAAACCAUGAAAUAUUAUAUAAAGCAUGUAAGAAUAAAUAAGAAUAUAAAGAGCUGCAUGGAUGAAACA